ensembl:lncRNA
AGGUGAUCUCCACAGCCCUGAUCACUGGAAUAUUGUUGAAAAUCUACUACUGCCAUGGAGAGAUUCCAAGCAUUGAAAAUAAAGGUGACUGGUGCUUCAAGAGAAAAAUGGAUGAUGCUAUUUUAGAGAUGCUGGAAGCAUAAAUGGUUUUGAACACUUAUUUUUUUCUUCUGUAAUCAAAGCCAGAUGUAUAUAUAUUUUUUUCCUAUCAUGAAAAAGCAAAGAACUUAGAGUACACUUCUUCAAAGUCUAAGAAUGCUGUAAAAAUGCAUCCAAGUAGAUCUUUGCAAUAAAAUUUUAUCUUGAAAAUGAUAACCAAAACUGGCAUAUCAUGAGUUUGGAUCAUUUACCUUCUGAACAUGACAAUCCUAUCAUGUAGUUGUUGUGAAAGAAUUUCUGAUAAACUGAGGGGCAAUUAUAGCUGGUCCCAGUAGAAAACAACAGGAGAAUAGGACUUAAAUUAUCAUAGGUGUUUGUUUUUUUUUCUGGGUAAGGCAUGUUAUGUGUAUUAUAGACAAAUAGCAAAAGCUGAAGAUGGAUUUUGGAAGCGUUGCAGAUGAAACUUAGAGUACUUGGACAUCUUGAUAGAAGGAAUCCCUCAUGGCACCUGCUCACUUAGCACAUUUCCUUCCUCCACCAGCAGAGUCAAGGCCUUUCUUUUUCUGAGUCCACGAUACAGUACUUCGAAAGGAGCAGAGAAGUUGAAAGAGCUUAGUGGGCUGUAGGAGGAUUCCCAGUUUAGUCACUCAUUACUAAGAAGUUGAAGAGCAUGCCAGUUCUAGGAGUGACACCAAUACAGAAGAAAUGUAACUGGUUGAGUAGAGGUGUGAUCUCAAACCCUGCUUGAAUUAAUCAGUUUUCAAAUACAGCGUAUUGAUGAGUGAGCAAAAAAAGUUAGUGCAGCUCAAUGCUGGCAGCACCUGGAGAGCAAGCGCCAAUGAGUAUGCUGAAGGACAGAGACUGUGAUGAGCACUAUCAGUGUGCAACGUGAACUGAUGGCAGGUAUUCAUAUCUGGUCCUCGUAGUCUGACAUAAAUAUGGAAGCCAUAAGAUGCAGUGUGACUUCUGGCCGUGGAUUCUUCUGUUCUUGAUGAAUAUUUCAGUGUUGAUAGAAACAUUUGUUUUCAUAGCAUGUCCAAGAGCUGUUCUGCAGUGGAGAAGGUAAGUUCAUAGGUGUGGGCAGGGGACGGACAACCAAGGCCUUCAUCUGUUCUCAAGAGUUGUAUGGACAGAUGUUGGGCUGAUCAAACAGCUACUGAAACCAUGAAGAAUCGGGGCAUAUUUUUAUUAGUGGGGAUGAAAAGAGAGAUUUAAGAUUUUUAGCCUUUCCAUGAUGCUCUCAGAUGCAUGGUUGAAUUUUAAGGUGUUUCUGAAUGGAUCCAGAUUGUGAUGUGCUGUAAUUAUAUUUGUUGUCUUUUGAAACAGACUCGGUUGCAGUUCAUUGUCAUUCUCUGUUCAUUUUCCUGAUUGAGAAUUACUCUCUGCAGUGCUUGUUGCUGGAAAAUAUUUAGUUGCCAGUGUUUAUUUCUGUCUUACAAGUUCAGCUGAGUCCUCUUUGCUUUAUGGUGAGGGACUGCUGCUGGCUAUUAGCUGUGCUUUGAAGACAAAUAUCCCUAUUUUCAUUCAAGUUCAGAUUGUGUUUGCUCCGAAACCCAAUGGAAGUGUUAGCUGUAUCUCAGUUCCCUGAUUUGGGUUGAUAGGACUUGCCUGUGAAUCUUGUUCUGACAGAUGAUUACCUCCCUGGACUCCUUCCUUAGGUAACUUAGCAAAGAGUCCCAGGUAUGCUUUGCAAGGUAGAACCACGUGUAGACAACAGGGUUUUGUUGUUCUUCAGGGGGAAAAAAUACGUAGCAUGGAAACAUGAAAUCUGAAUCACCCUGAAUUUAAAAAUAAAAAUCUAGGAGAUACAGCGACUUAAUGCUGUAAGUUGGAAGAAUGGUGGUGAAGUUCUUGAAUAUGAGAUUUGUUUUAAACUGACAAUAAAACUGUGUGCAAUUUGUGCUUUUGCAGUAAAUGUAAAGCGUGCCAUGGAUUAGCUAAUCUUCCAGAAGAACCCCAGCAUCUGCAUGCCAUGGCAAGUGAUCUGAGGAGCUCCAGGUGGGUGUGCUACAUGUAUAUCGAGUCGUCUCUCUAGACACUGUACUCUAUGAACUGCACGUGCAUUGUAGAAUUGUUUCCUUCCUGGUCCUUUUGUAAUGUCUGGUGUUUUAGUUUUGUUUUUUUUUUUUCCAAAUAAAUAUCUUUUGAAGUCAUUACUUUGUGGGUGUUUUCCAAGGGUCUGAGCGUUCUCUUGUGUUGCUGGUCCUCGCUGAUGUAUUUAUUCUCUUUGGAUCACACGGGGUAAGGGAGCAGAGAAAGUCAUAAUUGCUUCAGUUGGGUGCAAAAUGCAAACCCUUUUUUCUGAAGACUUUCAAGUAUUUUCUUGGAGAGCCCUUAGCAGAGGGAAAAUAAUUCUGAGCAAACCUGAAGAAACUUCUCAUGACACAAAAUCUAUUCUGAAUUUACAUUUGGAAAGCAGUGAUAAAUUAGAGUUCAGCAUCCUGUGAUUUUUACUCUCCUGUGAAGUGCCGAUUCCUCUGGGAACCUUCAGCAGUAUGAAGUUAAGGGUAGCCUUGCACUUGCAUGAAUAAUAAAGAUUUGGCUUAAUCUUGGCUCGUUAGAUCCCCCCACCCCGGAGGAAUGAGAAGAGCACACCCAGUGGUCUUUAACAUGCAGCACCUCGCUGUCUUUGAAGUCUUCCAUUUGAUUUUUUUUCAGGCACUAAGGGGUAAAGUGCCCCGUGAACUGCCAUAGGUGGUGAUCUGUGUGUGCAUGGAUGUAGUUACUGAAGAAUUCCUUUCUUCUAGAAAGUAUUCUGGCAUGUCACAUUGUUCAGUCUGGCUUCAUUUUUCAUUUCAGCUGUGCAGGCAUUUCCAGAAUCACUCUGCUCUUUUUCCCUUUUGCUUAUUCCUUUUCACAUGCCAUGUGCCAGUCCUGCUGAGCUGCAGGAUUGAGUGCUUCCUAAAAACAACUACACCAAUGCUGGCACAAGACUGUUACGGAGACUUGACCAUGAAAGCAGAAUUAUAGUUAAUCCUGUACCAAACGUGUUAAGCAAAUGAAAUAAAAUAAAAAUCCAGAUGUUCUGAA